AUUUGUCAAACAUUACAUUUUUGUUCUUGAUCUGAAGUUUUUGAAAACUGUUACUAAUUAGAUAUUUCAAAAGAUUUAAAAAUUAAUAUGUUAGCAAAUUAUAGAACAAUGGAAAUGGUACAAGGAAGCCAAAGAAGAGGUACAUUUUACAAGGAUAUUAAGGAAAUAAUCCAUUUGGACAGUUUUUCUUCCUGUUAAAUAUUUUUUCACAAAUGUGAACUCUUAGAUUUAUAGACUAUUUAGGUCUAUGAAAGUUAGUAUCUUUGAAAAGAUCACAGAGUCUUAGUGACAUUUAAUAUAUUCUUAGUAGAUAUUUAUUGAGGACAUUAAUUUGCUAAACAAACUACUCAAACUAUGUAAAGGAUAUGGAAACAAAACAUGAUUUUGCUUCCCACCCCCUUUUUGGGAAAUAAUUUAGAUUAGCUGAUUAUUAGCAGGAAGUAUUUUUUUUAUUGGAAACAAAAAAUGAAUUAAAAAAAGACUAGAGCAAAUCUUUUAGAGUGCCAGUGAUAGGCAAAGCCAUAUGGUAUGUUUUGUCCUUUAGAGGAGAUGCAGAGGUGAUAUAUUGCUCAUUGCUCUGUGAGUCUUUCUUUUAAAUAAAAAUAGAGACAGAAUCUUGCUCUGUUGCCUAGGAUGGUCUCAAACUUCUGGCCUCAAGCAAUUCUCUUGCCUCAGCCUCCUAAAGUGCUGGGAUUACAGGCAUGAGCCACCACACCCAGCCUGAGUUUCUUAAAAGCCAUUUUGUGUAUAUACUAGAUAGCUUCAGAAUAAUUAUCUGAUAGUUUUUUCUAUUUGAAAACUGGGAAAAUAUGUUUUUGACUGUUUACUAGAAAAGAAGGAUUAGUUUCAUGAAAAGAAAUGCUAGGGAGUUUAUCAUGAUCUCAAAACCUUGAAAUCUGUCUUUUUAGUGAUAUACAUUUGAUUCCUUUACAUUGUUCUUAAUAGUUAUAUUGUCCCUAAAAGAUAAAAAGUUUAGCCCAGUGCGUUACUUACCUCGACUCUUAGCUUGUUGGGGAUGGUAACCAGGACCCAGUGUCUGCUCCUGUCGCCUUCGCCUCCUAAUCCCUAGCCACUAUGCAUGAGUGCAUCUCCAUCCACGUUGGCCAGCCUGGUGUCCAGAUUGGCAAUGCCUGCUGGGAUCUCUACUGCCUGGAACAUGGCAUCCAGCCCAAUGGCCAGAUGCCAAGUGACAAGACCAUUGGGGGAGGAGAUGACUCCUUCAACACCUUCUUCAGUGAGACAGGUGCUGGCAAGCACUUGCCCCAGUCAUUGAUGAAGUUCGCACUGGCACCUACUGCCAGCUCUUCCACCCUGAGCAGCUCAUCACAGUCAAGGAAGAUCCUGCCAAUAACUAUGCCCGAGGGCACUACACCAUCUGCAAGGAGAUCAUUGACCUCGUGUUGGACCAAAUUAGUAAACUGGCUGACCAGUGCACCGGUCUCCAGGGCUUCUUGGUUUUCCACAGCUUUGGUGGGGGAACUGGUUCUGGGUUCACCUCCCUGCUCAUGGAACAGCUCUCAGUUGAUUAUGGCAAGAAGUCCAAGCUGGAGUUCUCCAUCUACCCAGCGCCCCAGGUUUCCAGAGCUGUAGUUGAGCCCUACAACUCCAUCCUUCUCACCCACACCACCCUGGAGCACUCUGAUUGUGCCUUCAUGGUAGACAAUGAGGCACAGAUAUUUCUAUGACAUCUGUCGUAGAAACCUCGAUAUUCAGCGCCCAACCUACACUAACCUUAACCGCCUUAUUAGCCAGAUCGUGUCCUCCAUCACUGCUUCCCUGAGAUUUGAUGGAGCCCUGAAUGUUGACCUGACAGAAUUCCAGAACAACCUGGCGCCCUAUCCCCACAUCCACUUCUCUCUGGCCACAUAUGCCCCUGUCAUCUCUGCUGAGAAAGCCUACCAUGAACAGCUUUCUGUAGCAGAGAUCACCAAUGCUUGCUUUGAGCCAGCCAACCAGAUGGUGAGAUGUGAUCCUCGCCAUGGUAAAUACAUGGCUUGCUGCCUGUUGUACCAUGGUGAUGUGGUUCCCAAAGAUGUCAAUGCUGCCAUCGCCACCAUCAAGACCAAGCGCAGCAUCCAGUUUGUGGAUUGGUGCCCCACUGGCUUCAAGGUUGGCAUCAACUACCAGCCUCCAGGUACUGUGGUACCUGGUGGAGACCUGGCCAAGGUACAGAGAGCUGUGUGCAUGCUGAGCAACACCACAGCCAUUGCUGAGGCCUGGGCUCACCUGGACCACAAGUUUGACCUGAUGUAUGCCAAGCAUGCCUUUGUUCACUGGUACGUGGGUGAGGGGAUGGAGGAAGGAGAGUUUUCAGAGGCCCGUUAGGACAUGGCUGCCCUUGAGAAGGAUUAUGAGGAGGUUGGGGUGGAUUCUGUUGAAGGAGAGGGUGAAGAAGAAGGCGAGAAAUACUAAUUAUCCAUUCCUUUUGGCCCUGCAGCAUGUCAUGCUCCCAAAAUUUCAGCUUCAACUUAGCUGACAGGCAUUAAAGCUUUCUGGUUAGAUUGUUUUCACUCAGUUACCAUGUCUUUUCCAUGUGUACCUGUAGUUUUUCCAUCAUGUCUCAAAGUAAAGUCAUUAACAUAAAAAAAAGAUAAAAAGUUCAUAUGUUCUUCUGCACACCUGUGGUAUACGAAUACUUAUUUGGGAUUUAUAAGUGAUUUUUCCUGGGGUUUUUUUUUCCCCCAGAGUAUUUCUUUUUAUUGGAGCAGUAUAUUUAGGUAUCAACAACAGUGAAAACUGUUUAAUUUACCCAAUGAAGGGCAUCUUGUUUGCUUCCAAGUUUUGGCAGUUAUGAACAAACCUGCCAUAAAUAUCUAUACAAAGGUUUUAGUGUAGUAGAUGUAUUUUUAAAACCUUUGGAUAAAUAUUAAGGAGCAUGAUUGCUGGAUUGUAUGAUAAGAAUAUGUUUAGUUUUGUAAGAAACUACUAAACUGUUUUCCCAAUUGGCCAUAUCAUUUUGUGUUCUCACCAGUAAUGUUUCUUUUUAACCUUGGUAAUGUCUUGUUUUGAAGUCAACCUUGUCUGUUAUUUAUGUAAUUUCUCCAGCUUUUUUUUUUUUUUAUUGCAUUUUAGGUUUUGCAGUACAUGUGCAGAACAUGCAAGAUAGUUGCAUAGGUACACACAUGGCAGUGUGUUUUGCUGCCAUCUUCCCCUUCACCCACAUUUGGCAUUUCUCCCCAGGCUAUCCCUCCCCGCCACUGCUGUCCCUCCCCUAUUCCCCCCAGUAGACCCCAGUGUGUAGUGCUCCCUUCCCUGUGUCCAUGUAUUCUCCUUUCUCAUCACCCGUCUGUGAGUGAGAAUAUGCGGUAUUUCAUUUUCUGUUCUUGUGUCAGUUUGCUGAGAAUGAUGUUCUCCAGAUUCAUCCAUGUCCCUACAAACGACAUGAACUCAUCGUUUUUGAUUGCUGCAUAAUAUUCCAUGGUGUAUAUGUGCCACAUUUUCCCAAUCUAGUCUAUCAUUGAUGGGCAUUUGGGUUGGUUCCAGGUCUUUGCUAUUGUAAACAGUGCUGCAAUGAACAUUCGUGUGCAUGUGUCCUUAUAGUAGAACGAUUUAUAGUUUUUUGGAUAUAUACCCAGUAAUGGGAUUGCUGGGUCAAAUGGAAUUUCUAUUUCUAAGGCCUAGGAAUCGCCACACUGUCUUCCACAAUGGUUGAACUAAUUUACACUCCCACCAGCAGUGUAAGAGUGUUCCUAUUUCUCCACAUCCUCUCCAGCAUCUGUUGUCUCCAGAUUUUUUAAUGAUCGCCAUUCUAACUGGCACAAGAUGGUAUCUCAAUGUGGUUUUGAUUUGCAUCUCUCUAAUGACCAGGGAUGAUGAGCAUUUUUUCAUAUGUUUGUUGGCCUCAUGUAUGCCUUCUUUUGUAACGUGUCUGUUCAUAUCCUUUGCCUAUUUUUGAAUGGGCUUGUUUGUUUUUUUCCUGUAAAUCUGUUUGAGUUCUUUGUAAAUUCUGGCUAUCAGCCCUUUGUCAGAUGGGUAAACUGCAAAAAUGUUUUCCCAUUCUGUUGGUUGCCGAUUCACUCUAGUGACUGUUUCUUUUGCUGUGCAGAAGCUGUGGAGUUUGAUUAGGUCCCAUUUGUCUAUUUUGGCUUUUGUUGCCAAUGCUUUUGGUGUUUUGGUCAUGAAGUCCUUGCCUACUCCUAUGUUCUGAAUGAUUUUGCAUAGAUUUUCUUCUAGGGUUUUUAUGGUGCCAGGUCUUCUGUUUAAGUCUUUAAUUCAUCUGGAGUUAAUUUUAAUGUAAGGUGUCAGGAAGGGGUCCAGUUUCUGCUUUCUGCACAUGGCUAGCCAGUUUUCCCAACAUCAUUUGUUAAACAGGGAAUCCUUUCCCCAUUGCUUGUUUUUUUCAGGUUUAUCAAAUAUUGUAUGGUUGUAGAUAUGCUGUGUUGCCUCUGAUGCCUCCGUUUUGUUCCAUUGGUCUAUAUCUCUGUUUUGGUACCAGUACCAUGUUGUUUUGAUUACUGUAGCCUUGUAGUAUAGUUUGAAGUCCGGUAGUGUGUUGCCUUCUGCUGUGUUCUUUUUGCUUAGAAUUGACUUGGCUAUGUGGGCUCUCUUUUGAUUCCGUAUGAAGUUCAUGUUGGUUUUUUCCAGUUCUGUGAAGAAAGUCAAUGGUAGCUUGAUGAGGAUAGCGAUGAUUCUGUAAAUUACUUUGGGCAGUAUAGCCAUUUUCACGAUAUUAAUUCUUCCUAACCAUGAACAUGGAAUGUUUCUCCAACUGUUUGUGUCCUCUCUUAUUUCAUUGAGCAGUGGUUUGUAGUUUUCCUUGAAGAGGUAGCUUACAUUCCUUGUAAGUUGUAUUCCUAGGUAUUUUAUUCUUUUUGUAGCAGUUGUGAAUGGCAGUUCUUUCUUGAUUUGGCUCUCUUUAAGUCUGUUAUUGGUAUAGAGGAAUGCUUGUGAUUUUUGCACAUCGAUUUUAUAUCCUGAGACUUUGCUGAAGUUGCUUAUCAGUUUCAGGAGUUUUUGGGUUGAGGCGAUGAGGUCUUCCAGGUAUACUAUCAUGUCAUCUGCAAAUAGAGACAGUUUGGCUUCCACCUUUCCUAUUUGAAUACCCUUUAUUUCUUUUUCUUGCCUGAUUGCUCUGGCUAGAACCUCCAGUAGUAUAUUGAAUAGGAGUGGUGAAAGAGGGCAUCCUUGUCUAGUGCCAGAUUUCAAAGGGAAUGCUUCCAGUUUUUGCCCAUUCAGUAUGAUAUUGGCUGUUGGUUUGUCGUAAAUAGCUUUUAUUACUUUGAGAUAUGUUCCAUCAAUACCAAGUUUAUUGAGGGUUUUUAGCAUAAAGGGCUGUUGAAUUUUGUGAAAGGCCUUCUCUGCAUCAAUUGAGAUAAUCAUGUGGUUUUUGUUUUUGGUUCUGUUUAUGUGGUGAAUUACAUUUAUAGACUUGCAUAUGUUGAACCAGCUUUGCAUCCCCGGAUGAAUCCUACUUGAUCAUGAUGGAUAAGUUUUUUGAUGUGCUCUUGCAAUCGGCUUGCCAAUAUUUUAUUGAAGAUUUUUGCAUCUAUGUUCAUCAUGGAUAUUGGCCUGAAGUUUUCUUUUCUUGUUGGGUCUCUGCCGGGUUUUGGUAUCAGGAUGAUGUUGGUCUCAUAAAAUGAUUUGGGAAGAAUUCCCUCUUUUUGGAUUAUUUGGAAUAGUUUCAGAAGGAAUGGUAUCAGCUCCUCUUUGUGUAUCUGGUAGAAUUCGGCUGUGAACCCGUCUGGACCUGGGCUUUCUUUGUGUGGUAGGCUCUUAAUUGCUGCCUCGACUUCAGACCUUGUUAUUGGUCUAUUCAUAGUUUCAGCUUCCUCCUGGUUUAGGCUUGGGAGGACACAGGUGUCCAGGAAUUUAUCCAUUUCUUCCAGGUUUACUAGUUUAUGUGCAUAGAGUUGUUUGUAAUAUUCUCUGAUGAUGUUUUGAAUUUCUGUGGAAUCUGUGGUGAUUUCCCCUUCAUCAUUUUUUUAUUGCAUCUAUUUGGUUGUUCUCACUUUUCUUUUUUAUCAUUCUGGCUAGUGGUCUGUCUAUUUUGUUGAUCUUUUCAAAAAACCAGCUCUUGGAUUUAUUGAUUUUUUGAAGGGUUUUUCGUGUCUCUAUCUCCUUCAGUUCUGCUCUGAUCUUAGUUAUUUCUUGUCUUCUGCUAGGUUUUGAGUUUUUUUGAUCUUGCUCCUCUAGCUCUUUCAAUUUUGAUGAUAGGGUGUCAAUUUUGGAUCUCUCCACUCUUCUCAUAUGGGCACUUAUUGCUAUAUAUUUUCCUCUGGAGACUGCUUUAAAUGAGUCCCAGAGAUUCUGGUUUGUUUUGUCUUUGUUCUCAUUGGUUUCGAAGAGCUUCUUUAUUUCUGCCUUCAUUUCAUUGUUUAUCCGGUCAACAUUCAGGAACCAGUUGUUCAGUUUCCAUGAAGCUGUGAGGUUCUCAGUUAGUUUCUGAAUUCUGAGUUCUAACUUGAUUGCACUAUGGUCUGAGAGACUGUUUGUUAUUAUGUCAAUUGUUUUGCAUUUGCUGAGGAGUGCUUUACUUCCAAUUAUGUGGUCAAUUUUAGAGUAGGUGUGAUGUGGUGCUGAGAAGAAUGUAUAUUCUGUGGAUUUGGGGUGGAGAGUUCUAUAAAUGUCUAUCAGGUUUGCUUGUUCUAGGUCUGAGCUCAAGUCCUGGAUUUCCUUGUUAAUUUUCUGUCUGGUUGAUCUGUCUAAUAUGGACAGUGGAGUGUCAAAGUCUCCCACUAUUAUUGUGUGGGAGUCUAAGUCUCUUUGUAGGUCAUCAAGAACUUGCCUUAUAUAUCUGGGUGCUCCUGUAUUGGGUCCAUAUAUAUUUAGGAUUGUUAGCUCUUCUUGUUGUAUCGAUCCUUUUACUAUUAUGUAAUGUCCUUCUUUGCCUCUUUUGAUCUUUGGUGCUUUAAAGUCUGUUUUAUCAGAGACAAGAAUUGCAGCUCCUGCUUUUAUUUGCUCUCCAUUUGCUUGGUAAAUCUUCCUCCAUCCCUUUAUUUUGAGCUUUUGUGUAUCCUUGCAUGUGAGAUGAGUUUCCUGGAUACAGCACACUGAUGGGUUUUGGCUUAUUAUCCAAUAUGCCAGUCUGUGUCUUUUGAUUGGAGCAUUUAGUCCAUUUACAUUUAGGGUUAAUAUUGUUAUGUGUGAACUUGAUACUGCCAUUUUGAUGCUAGCUGGCUGUUUUGCCUGUUUGUUGAUGCAGAUUCUUCAUUUUGUUGAUGCUCUUUAGCAUUUCGUAUGUUUUUGGAAUGGCUGGUUCUGGUUGUUCCUUUCUAUGUGUAGUGCCUCUUUCAGGAGCUCUUGCAAAGCAGGCCUGGUGGUGACAAAAUCUCUGAGUGCUUGCUUGUUUGCAAAGGAUUUUAUUUUUCCUUCACUUAUGAAGCUCAGUUUGACUGGAUAUGAAAUUCUGGGUUGAAAGUUCUUUUCUUUAAGGAUGUUGAAUAUUGGCCCCCACUCUCUCCUGGUUUGUAGAGUUUCUCCCGAGAGAUCUGCUGUGAGUCUGAUGGGCUUCCCUUUGUCGGUGACCUGACCUUUUUCUCUGGCUGCCCUUAGUAUUUUCUCCUUCACUUCAACCCUGGUGAAUCUGACGAUUAUGUGCCUUGGGGUUGCUCUUCUUGCGGAAUAUCUUUGUGGUGUUCUCUGUAUUUCCUGGACUUGAGUAUUGUCCUGGCUUGCUAGGUUGGGGAAAUUUUCCUGGAUAAUAUUCUGAAGAGUAUUUUUUAGCUUGAAUUCAUUCUCUUCAUCACCUUCUGGUACACCUAUUAUACAUAGGUUCUGUCUCUUCACAUAAUCCCACAUUUCUUGGAGACUUUGUUCAUUCCUUUUUGCGCUUUUUUCUCUACUCUUAUUUCCCAUUUUAUUUCAUUGAGCUGAUCUUCGACUUCUGAUAUUCUUUCUUCUGCUUGGUCAAUUCGGCUGUUAAAACUUGUGCAUGCUUCGCGAAGUUCUCGUGUUGUGUUUUUCAGCUCCUUCAAUUCAUUCAUAUUCUUCUCUAAGUUGUCCAUUCUUGUUAUCAUUUCCUCAGAUAUUUUUUCAAGGUUCUUAGUUUCUUUGCAUUGAUUUAGAACAUGUUAUUUUAGCUCACGGAAGUUUCUCAUUACCCACCUUUCAAAGUCUGAUUCCGUCAUUUCAUCACCCUCAUUCUCCAUCUAGCUUUGUUCCCUUGCUGGUGAGGAGUUUUGGUCUUUUGUAUGAAGUGAGGUGUUCUGGUUUCGGGUGUUUUCCGCCUUUUUGCGCUGGUUUCUUCUUUUCUUUGUGCGUUUAUCCACCUGUGGUCUGAGUAGUUGCUGACUUUUCGAUUGCGUCUCUGAGUGGACACCCAGAUUGUUGACGGUGAAGUAUUUCUGUUGCUUAGUUUUCCUUCUAACAGUCUAACCCCUCUGCUGUAUGACUGCUGAGGUCCACUCCAGGCCCUGCUUGUCUGGGGUACACCUGUAGCCACUGCGGAACAGUGAGGGAUGCUACCAGUUUCUUCUUCUGCUAUCUUUGUCCCAGGAUGAUGCCCACCAAAUGUCAGUCUGAUCAGUCCUUUUUGAGGUAACUCUUUGGAUAUACAGGGGUCAGGGAGCUGCUUGAGGAGACGGUCUGUACUUUAUAGGAGCUCGAGUGCUGAGCUGUGAGCUCCGUUGUUCAUUCAGGACUGUUCAGCAGAUACUUUUAAGUCUGCUGCAGCAGAACUCAUAAAAUCCUUUUUUUUUUUUCCUCAGAUGCUGUGUCUCGGGGCGUUAGGGCUUUCUUUAUGAGUAUCCGCUGCACUUUCCUGCCCAGCUAGGGGGCAGUCUAGUCACUAUUUGCCUGCUGAGGCUCCGCCCUGUUGGCAUUGGCUCCGCCCUACUGUCAUGGGCUCCGAUCUGUUGCCUCUGUAUUGGCAGAGUCUCUCUGUUAUGGCGGGUUGCCUUGGCAACGGCAGGCUGCAUCACCAAUGGGAGUAUACCUCUGUAGGGGCGGAAUGCCUCGGCAAUGGUGGACGCCCCUCCCCCACCGAGCUGCACUGUCCCGGGCUCAUUUGUGUCUGCAGUGAAACUCUCAACCUCGAGUGUAUCAAAUCGCCGCCCUGCUUAUCCCUGUGGGGGUGGAACCCGCCGAGCCUGGUCACCUGGCUUGCCGCCUCAGAGCCCCUCUUUUUCCCUUUCCAAAGUUGAAUGGUUGACUCUCUCCCAGGUAUUUCAGUUGCCCGCUGAUAGGGGACGGGAUCCGCGUGAUUUCCCUUGCUGCGACCCACUGCACCAGCUCAAAUGUUGCCUCCCGGGAAUCUCCUGGUCUGGCUCACUGUCCAAGUCCCAUCCAAUCAGAUGGAUAUGCUAAUCUGCCCUCCCAAAUCUCAGAUUGUCAGUUUAACAGGGCAUCCAGACCAGUGCGCCUUGUGCAGAGUCCCGCUGCGCUGCUGCACCGGCCCCAACGGCAGUGCCAGCCGCGGCGGUGCUCCGUGUCUCUCCUACACCUGGGAAUCCCCCCCGCUCCACCUAGUUCUGUGGGCAAGUAAGAUUCGUCUGAAAAUGCAGCCUGAACUCACCUUCUGCGCCUUCACUGAGAGCCGCAACCCCGAGCUGCUCCUACUCAGCCAUCUUCCGGGUCUCUCCAGCUUUCUUUAGCUGAGUAUUUGCCAAUGUAUCUUUGUCUACUCUUUUACUUUUAAGCAAUGUCUUUGUUUUAAAGUGGGUUUCAUGUAGGCAGCAUAUAUUUGGGUCUUUCUUUGCGUUUUAUAACUCAGUGUGAUAAUGUGUUGUUUAAUCAGUAUGUUUAGACCAUCCACAUUUAGUGUAGUUAUUGAUGUGGUUGGAUUUAAAUCUAUCAUUUAUUUGUCUCAUAUAUUCUUUUUUUUUUUUGAGACGAAGCCUCACUCUAUCGUCCAGGCUGGAGUGCAAUGGCUCAAUCCUGGCCCACUGCAACUUCUGCCUCCCAGGUUCACGUUGUCCUGCCUCAGCCUCCCAAGUCGCUAGGAUUACAGGCACCCAAAUGUCAGUCUGAUCAGUCCUUUUUGAGGUAACUCAAACCAACACCAAACCCAGAUAUUUUUGUAUUUUUAGUAGAGAUGGGGUUUCACUAGGUUGGCCAGGCUGGUCUUGAACUCCUGACUUCAGGUGAUCUACUUGCCUUGGCCUCUUAACGUGCUGUGAUUACAGGCAUGAGCCACUGCGCACAGCUGUCUCAUCUAUUCUUCUUUUUUUCUCUCUCUCUUUUUUUUUUUUUUUGCUUUCUUUUGGAUUGAGUUUUUAUAAUGAUUCUAUUUUAUCUCUACUAUUGGCUUAUCAGUUAUAUCUUGUUUUUAUUUUUUAGCGAUCCUCUAGGAUUUACAGGUGUAUCCUGUUUUGUUGUGCUUCACAUAUACUGUGUUUUUCACAAAUUGAAGGUUUGUGGCACCCCUGUGUUGAACAAGUUUAUCAGUGCUUUUUAUCCAACAGAUGUUCUCACUUCAUGUCUCUGUGUCACCUUUUGGUAAUUCUUCCAAUAUUUCAAACUUCAUUAUUAUAUCUUUUUUUUUUUUUUUUUUAAAGAAAUAGUCUCAGUCUGUUGCACAGGCUGGAGUGCAGUGGCACAAUCAUGGUUCACUGCAGUUGCAACUACGAGACUCAAGUGAUCCUCCCACUUCAGCCUCCUGAGUAGCUGGGACUACAGUUGCAUGCCAGUGGGCCCAGCUAAUUUUUUAAUUUUUUGCAGAGAUGGGAGUCUCACUCUGCUGCGUGGGCUGGUCUUGAACUCCUGGACUCAAGCAAUCCUCCCACCUCAGCCUUCCAAAGUGCUGGGAUUACAGGCAUGAGCCACCACACCCAGCUACUCUUUAGUAUUUUAUGGUGAUCUGUGAUUAUUGAGCUUUGAUGUUAACUGUUGUAAUUGUUUUGGCACAUCAUGAAUCAUGCCAAUAUAAGACAGUGAACUUAAUAAAUGUUCUGUUUUCUGACUGCUCCACUGACUGUCCAUUUCUCUAUCUCUCCUCCUCUUCUUGGGCUUUCCUAUACCCUGAGAGACAACAAUGUUGAAACUAGACCAACUAAUAACCCCACAGUGACCCCUAAAAGUUCAAGUGAAACUAAGAGUCAAAGUUCUUCAAAACUAGAAAUGCCAUCAUUAAUAUGAGAAAGGCAUGUUAAAAACCUUAAGAUAGGCUAAAAGCUAGGCCUCUUGUGUCAAACAGCCAAAAUAUGAGGGCACAGUUUUUGGGCAAAAUUAAAAAUGCUACUCCAGAUGAGAAAGUGAAACAGCUUUAUUAAUGAUAGGGAGAGAGUGGUCUGAUUAAAAGAUCAACCCAGCCACAAGAUUCCCUUAAGCCAAAUCAUAAUUCAUAGCAAAGCCCUGACUCUCUUCAAUUCUGUGAAGACUGAGAGAGGUGAGGAAGGUGUAGAAGAAAAGUUGGAAGCUAGCAGAAGUUAGUUCAUGAGGUUUAGGAAGCUAUCUUCAUAAUAUAAAAGUGCAAGAUGAAGCAGCAAGUGCUAAUAGGGAAGCUGCAGCAAGUUACAAGGAAGAUCUAGCUAAGAUAAUAAAUAAAAGCGGGCGCGGUGGCUCAAGCCUGUAAUCCCAGCACAUUGGGAGGCUGAGGCGGGUGGAUCACGAGGUCAAGAGAUUGAGACCAUCCUGGUCAACAUGGUGAAACCCCGUCUCUACUAAAAAUACAAAAAAUUAGCUGGGCAUGGUGGCGCGUGCCUGUAAUCCCAGCUACUCAGGAGACUGAGGCAGGAGAAUUGCCUGAACCCCGGAGGUAGAGGUUGUGGUGAGCUGAGAUCACACCAUUGCACUCCAGCCUGGGUAACAAGAGUGAAACUCCAUUUCAAAAAAUAAAAAAUAAUAAUAAAAAAAUAAAAGUGGAUACAUUUCUAUAGGUCUAGAUUUGAAAAAAAAAAAGUGUGGCUACCUUAAACAACAGAUUUUCAGUGUAGACAAAAUAGCCUUCUAUUGAAGAAGAAGCCAGCUAGGACUUUGAUAGCUAGGGAGGAGAAGGCAAUGUUUGGCUUCAGAGAUUCAAGGGACAGGGCUGACUCUCUUGUUAGGGGCUAAUGGAGCUGAUGACCAAGUUGCAGCUAUUGCUAAUUUACUGUUUUGAAAAUCCUAGGGCCCUUUUGAAUUAUGCUAAAUCUACUAAUCUGCUUAUGCUCUAUAAAUAGAACAACAAAGUCUACAUGGCAGCAUGCUUACAGUGUGGUUUACUAAAUAUUUUAAGCCCACUGUUAAGACCUACUAUUCAGAAAAAGAAGAUUCCUUUCAAUACUUCCUUUCAUUGACAGUGUACCUCGUCACCCAAGAACUUUGAUGAAGAUAUGCAAGGAGAUAAAUGUUCUUUUUAUACCUGAUAACACAUUGAUUCUGCAGUCCAUGAAUUCCAAGGAGUCAUUUCAACUUUCUAGUCUUAUAAGUUAGAAUAUUCAUGUAUAGUCUAUUCAUAAGGCUAUAGCUGCCACAGCUAGUGAUUCCUCUGAUGGACCUGAGCACAGUAAAUUGAAAACAUUCUGGAGAGCAUUCACCAUUCUACAUGCCAUUAAGAACAUUGGUGAUUCAUAGAAGGAGGUCAAAAUAUCAACAUUAACAGGAUUUUAGAAGAAGUUGAUUCCUGCCCUCAUGAAUGACUUUGAGAGGCUCAGACUUCAGUGGAGGCUAUAAUUACAGAUGUGGUGGAAAUAGCAAGAGAAAUAUAAUUAGAAGUGGAGCCUGAAGAUGUGACUGAAUUGGUGCAAUCUCCUGAUAAAACUUGAAGAGAUGAGGAAUUGCUUCUUUUUUUUUUUUGAGAGGGAGUUUUACUCUUGUUCCCCAGGCUGGAAUGCAAUGGCGAGAUCUCGGCUCACCACAACAUCCGCCUCCUGGGUUCAGGCAAUUCUCCUGCCUCAGCCUCCUGAAUAGCUGGGAUUACAGGCACGCGCCACCAUGCCCAGCUAAUUUUUUGUAUUUUUAGUGGAGACGGGGUUUCACCAUGUUGACCAGGAUGGUCUCGAUCUCUUAACCUCAUGAUCCACCCACCUUGGCCUCCCAAUGUGCUGGGAUUACAGUUGUGAGCCACUGUGCCCGGCCGAGGAAUUGCUUCUUAUGGAUGAGCACAAAGAGUAGUUUCUUGAGCUGGAAUCUACUCCUGGCGAAGAUUCUGUGAACGUUGUUGAAAUGAAGACAACAGAUUUAGAAUAUUAUAUAAAGCCGUGGCAGGGUUUGAGAGGACUGACUCCAAUUUUGAAAGAAGUUCUAGUGUGGGUAAAAUGCUAUCAGGACAGCAUCCAUGCUACAGAGAAAUCUUUUGGGAACAGAAGAGUCAAUGUAGCAAACUUCAUUGUCUUAUUUUGAGAAAUUGCCACUCCAGCCAUCAGCAACCACCACUCUGAUCAGUCAGCAGCCAUCAGCAUCAAGGCAAAACCCUCCACCAACAAAAAGACUAUGACUUGCUGAAGGCUCAGAUGAUCAUUAGCAUUUUUAGCAGUACAGUUUUUGAAAAAUUGGUACAUAAUAGUUGUACAUAUUUUGGGGGUUCAUGUGAUAUUUUGAUACAUGCAUACAAUGGGUAAUGAUCAAAUCAGGGUAAUGGGGAUAUCAAUCACCUCAAACAUUUUUCUUUAUUCUGUUCUAUUUUUUUUCUUAAGAUCUUUUUGUGUACCAAUCUUCCAGCUAUUUUGUACUAUACAAUAUGUAAUUGUUAAGUAUAGUUUCCCUACUACUAUACCAUAAACACUAGAUCUGAUUUCUGGUAUUAACUGUAUUUUCGUACCUGUUAACCAACUGCUCUUCAUCCCCCUUCUCCCUACCCAUUCCAGUCCCUAGUAAGCAGUAAUUAACUCUAUCUCUAUGAGAUCUACUUUUUUAGCUCCCACAUAUUAGUGAGAACAUGUGGUAUUUAUCUUUCUUUGGCUGGCUUAUUUCAUAUAACCUAAUGACCUCCAAUUCUAUCCAUGUUGCUGCAAAUGACAGAAUUCUUUUUUAUGGCUAAAUAGUAUUCCAUUGGGUAUGUUUAUAUAUGUGCGUAUGUAUGUAUGUGCAUAUAUAUACAUAUAUACACACAUGUACAUACACAUAUAUACACAUACAUAUACUUUUCUUCAUUCAUCUAUUGAUAGACACUUAUGUUGAUUACGUUUCUUGGCUGUAGUGAACAGUGCUGCAGUAAACAUGGGAGAGCAGCUGUCUCUUCAAUAUACUGAUUUCCUCUAUUUUGGAUAUAUACCCGGCAGUGAGAUUGCUGAAUCAUAUGGAAUUUCUGUUUUUAGUUUUUUGAGGAACUUCUAUGCUGUUUUCUGUAGUGGCUGUACUAAUUUACAUUUACACCAACAGUAUGUGAAGCAUUCCCCUUUCUCUGUAACCUUACAACAUAUAUUUUUUGCCUUCUUGAUAAAAGCCAUUUUAACUGGGGUGAGAGGCUUUAUCAUUGCGGUUUUGAUUUGUGUCUUCCUGAUAAUUAGUAAUGUUGAGCAUUUUUAAACCUAUCUCUUGUCCAGUUGAUGUCUUCUUUGGAGAAAUGUCCAGAUCUUUUGUCAAGGUCAAAAUGGGAUUAUUUGGGUAUUUUUUACUACUGAGUUGUUUGAGUUCCUCGUAUAUUCUGGGUAUUAGUCCCUUUUUGGUUAGAUCGUUUGCAGAUAUUUUCUCCCAUUCUGUAGGUUGUCUCUCCAUUUUGUUGGCUCCUUCAUUUGCUGUGCAGAAACUUUUUUGCUUGAUAUAAUCUUAUUCAUCUAUUUUUACUUUUGUUGCUUGUGCUUUUAGCAUCUUACACAGAACAUCUCUGCCUAGACCAAUGGCCUAGAGUGUUUUCCCAACAUUUUCUUCUAGUAGUUUCAUAGCUUUGGGUCCUAGAUUUAAGUCUUUAGUCCAUUUUGAUUGGCUUUUUUUUUAUGGUAGAGAUAGAGUCUAGCUUCAUACUUUUGCAUAUGGUUAUCUAGUGUUCUUAGCACCAUUUAUUGAAGUUACCGUCCUUUCCUCACUGUAUGUUCUUGGUGCAUUUGUAAAAAAGGAAUUGGCUGAUAAUAUGUAGAUUUUUUUCCUAAAUUUUCUAUUCUGUUCCGUUGGUCUGUGUGUCUGCUUUUACACCAGUACCAUGCUACCUUUAUUACUAUGGCUUUGUAUUAUAUUUUGAAUUUGGGUAGUGUGAUGCCUCCAGCUAUAUUCUUUUUGCUCAGAAUUACUUUGCUUUUUCAGGGGCUUUUGUGGUUCUUUACAAAUUUUAGGAUUGUUCUUUCUAUUUCUGUGAAGAAUGUCAUAGGCAGGUUGAUAGGGAUGGAAUUAAAUCUGUAGAAGUUGCUGUGUAGUAUUGACAUUUUAACAAUGUUAAUUUUUCUAAUCCAUGAGUAUGAGAUAUCAUUCCCUUUUUUUGAUGUGACUGCUUUAAUUUCUUUCAUCUGUGUUUUUUAGUUUUCUUUGUAGAGAUCUUUCACUUUGGUUACAUUUAUACCUGGAUACUUUAAAUAUUUUUGUAACUGUUGUAAAUGAGAUUGCCUUCCUGAUUUCUUUUUCAGUUUGCUUGCUGUUGGCAUAUAUAAAUGCUGCUGAGGCUGGGUGUGGUGGCUCACGCCUGUAAUCUCAGCACUUUGGGAGGCCAAGGCGGGUGGAUCACCUGGUGUCAGGAGUUUAAGACCAGCCUGGCUAACAUGGUGAACCCCUGUCUUUAAAAAAAUAAAUUAAAAAAAAAAUGCUACUGAUUUUUGUAUAUUGAUUUUGUAUUGUGCAACUUGACUGAAUUUAUCUAGAUUUUUGGUGGAGUGUUUAGAUUUUUCUAAAUAUAAUAUCAUAUCGUUUGCAGGCAAGGAUAAUUUGACUUCUUCCUUUCCAAUGUGGAUGCCCUUUCUCUUGCCUAAUUGCUCCUGCUAGGACUUACAGUACUACGUUCAAUUACCAUGUGGUAUUAAGCCUGCAGGUAAUGUACAGAAUGCAAGAGUUGAGGCUUCAGAGCCUCUGCCUUUAUUUCAGAGGAUGUAUGGAAAAGCCUGGAUGUCUGGACAAAAGCCUACUACAGGGGCAGAGCCCUCAUGGAGACCCUCUAUGAGGGCAGUAUGGAGGGGAAAUAUGGGGCUGGAGCCCUCAUACAGACUCCCCACUGGGGCACUGCCUACAGCAUCUUUGUGAAGAGGGGCCACUGUGCUGCAGACCCCAAAAAUGGUAGAUCCAUGAUCCACUAGCAGCCUGCACCCUCAGCCUCGAAAAGCCACAGGCACUCAAUGCCAGCCCUUAAGAGCAGCCAUGUGGGCUAAACCCUGGAAAGCCAUAAGCGUGGAGCUGCCCGAAGCUUUGUGAUACCACCCCUUGCACCAGCAUGCCCUGGAUGUGAUGUAUGGAGUCAAAGGAGAUUAUUUUGGAGCGUUAAGAUUUAGUGUCUAUUUCUUCCUUUUGCUUCGAGUUGUUAUUGUGAUAAUGAGUUGUGAGAUCUGGUUGUUUAAAAGUGUAUGGCACCUCCCCUCUUUCUCUUCCUCUUGCUCCAGCAAUGCGAAGUGCUGCUUCCCCUUUGCAUUCCACCAUGAUUGUUAGUUUUCCUAAGGCCUUCCUUGAAGCUGAGCAGAUACCAGCAUUAUGCUGUACUGCUUAUAGAACCAUGAGCCAAUUAAACCUCUUUCCUCUAUAAUUUACCCAGUCUCGGGCAUUUCUUCAUAGUAAUGUGAGAACAACCAAAUACAUCUAGCUGAAGGUUUGUUCAUUUUGUUUAUCUUUUCAAAAAAUGAAAAUGGAAACAUAACUUUCCAAAACCAAUGGGAUUGAUUUUGAAACCAACUUCAUUUCAUUGAUUUUUUUGUACUUGUUUUAGUCUCAAUUUUAUUUAUUUCUGCUUUGAUCGUUAUUAUUUCUUUCUACUAAUUUAGGGUUUGAUUUGUUCUUUUCUAGUUCUCAAAUACAUCGUCAGGUUGUUUAUUUGGAACUUUUUGACUUUUUUGAUGUAGGCAUUUAUUGCUAUAAACUUCUCUCUUAGUACUGCUAUGCUGUACCCCAUUGGUUUUGGAAAGUUAUGUUUCCAUUUUCAUUUUUUGAAGACAUUUUGAAAUUUUCUUCUUAAUUUAUUAAUCUAUUGAUCAUUCAGGAGCAUGUUGUUUAAAUUCCACCUAUUCGUGUAGUUUCCAAAAAUCUUCAUGUUAUUGAUUUCUGUUUUUAUUCUGUUGUAGUCAGAGAAGAUACUUGAUAUGAUUUUGGCUUUUUUGAAUUUGUUGAGACAUGUUUUAUAGUAUAACAUAUGUUUUAUCCUGGAGAGUGUUCCAUGUGCUAAUGAGAAGAAUGUAUUCUGCAGCAGUAGGUGACAUGUUCUAUAAAUGUCAUUAGGUCCAGUUGGUCUAGGUGUAGUUUAACUUCAUUAUAUCUUUGUUGAUUUUCUGUCUGGAUGAUCUGUCCAUUACUGAGAGAUGGGUCUUGAAAGUCUCCUGCUACUAUUGUAUUAUAGUCUUUCUAUCCUCUAGAUUUAUUAAUGUUUGUUUAAUAUAUUUGAGUGCUCCAGAAUUGGGGGCAUAUAUUUAUAAUUGUUAUAUCCUGUUGCUGAAUUGAUUCCUUUAUCAUCAUAUAAAGGACCUUCAUCAUCAUAAAAAGGACCUUCCUUGUCCUUUUUUUUUUUUUUUUAACAAACUUUGACUUGGUCUAUUUUGUUUAAUAUAAAUAUGGCUACCUUUUUUUUUUUGGCUUCCAUUUGCGUAGAAUGUCUUUUUCCAUUCUUCACUUUCAGUCUAUGUGUGCCUUUAUAGUUGCUGUGAGUUUCUUAUAGGCAAUAUAUAGUUGGAUCUUGUUUCUAAAAGUUUUUAAAAGUUCACUCAGCAAUGCUUAUAUCUUUUGGUUGGAGAAUUUAGUUCAUUUACAUUCAGUGUUAUUAUUGAUAGAUAAGGACUUACGCAGUAUUUCAUUACUUGGUUUCUGGUUGUUUUGUAACUCUUCCUUUCUUCCUUCUUGCUGCCUUUGUUUGUGAUGAAGUGGUUUUUCUCUGGGAGUAUGUUUUAAUUCAUUGCUUUUUAUUUUUAGUUUAUCUGUUAUAGGUUUUUGCUUUGUGGUUACCAUGAAGCUUACAAAAGCCAUAGAUAUAAGUUAUUUUAAACAUAUGACAACUUACUUUGAUCACAAAAGGAGAGAAAUCAAAGGAAAAACCAAAAAACUCUACACUUUAACUCUAUCCUCCCACAUUUUGACAUUUUGCUGUCUUAAAUUACAUCUAUUUAUAUUCCUUAUCUCUUAACAGGUUGCUGUUAAUAUUUUCAGAUUUAUCUUUUAGUCUUCAUACUAGAGAUCUGAAUGGAUUACAUGUAACAAUAAUUACUGUAUUAGAGUAUUCUGAAUUUAUCUACUUUUACCAGUGAGUUUUAUACCUUCAAAUAUUUUUGGUUUUGCACAUCAAAUUUUGUUUUCUUUCAAAUCAAGGAACUCUCUGUAGCAUUUCUUGAAAGAUGGGUCUAGUAGUGAUGAAUUCCUUCAGCUUUUGUCUAUGAAAGACUUUGUAUCUCCUUCCUGUUAGAAGGAUAUGUAAAUUACAUAUCCUUCUAACAGGAAGAAGAUUUUAAAAGUUUUAAUGUAAAGUUUCAAAAGUUUUAAUGUAAAGUAAAAAUGUAAUUUAAGACAACUUUUAUCCUGUAGCACUUUGAAUGUGUCAUUCUACUCCCUCAUGGCCUGUUCGGUUUCUGCAGAAAAGUCUGUUGCCAAAAACAUCAGAGCUCCUUUAUAUGUUCUUUUAUUUCUUUUCUCUUGCUAUUUUAAGAAUCUUCUCUUUGUCUUUCACGUUUUCAGGUUUGAUUAUUAUUUGCCUUGGGAGACUCUUACUUGGGUUGAAUGUUGAUAUGGUUUGGCUCUGUGUCUUCACCCAAAUCUUAUCUCGAAUUGUAAUUCCCAUAAUCCCCACAUGUCAAGGGAUGGACCUGGUAGGAGGUGAUUGGAUCAUGGGGACAGUUACCUCAUGCUGUUCUUGUCAUAGUGAGUGAGUUCUCACAAGAUUUGAUGGUUUUAUAAGUACUUGACAGUUCCUCCUUCACACAUACUCUCUCUGUCUCAGCUGCCACGAAGUAAGAAGUGCCUGCCUCCUCUCCCACCAUGAUUGUAAGUUUCCUGGAGUCUCCCCAGCCAUGUGGAACUGUGAGUCAAUUAAACCACUUUCCUUCAUAAAUUUACCCAGUCUCAGGUAUUCUUUAUAGCAGAGUGAAAAUGGACUAAUACAAAUAUAUUUGGUGAUUUCUGACCUUCUGUACCUAUUUAUAUCUUUCUCUAGAUUUGGAAUGUUUUUGGUCAUUAUUUCUUUGAAUAAACAUACUACUCCUUGCUCUUAACUCCUCAUUGAAUGCCGGUGGCUCUCACAUUUGUUCUUUUGAGAUUAUUCUUUAUAUCUUGCAGGUGUUCUUCAUUCCUUUUUCUUUCUCCUCUGACUGUAUUUUCCAAUAGCCUGUAUUUGAGCUGAUUGUUUCUUCUUCUUGAUACAUUUUGCUGUUUAGAGCCUGUAAUCCAUUUUUCAGAAAAUGUGUUUGAGUUCCAGGAUUUCCAUUUUUUAAAAUUUUUAUUUAUUUUUUAUUUAAAUCUCUUUGUAUUGCAUUUCUCUGAUAAAUUUCUGAAUUGCUUCUCUGUGUUAUCUUGGAUUUUUCUGAGUAUCUGUAGAACUGUUAUUUUGUUCUUGAUCUGAGACCUCACACAUUGCUUUCUCGUUUAGAUUGGUCCCUGACUCUUAGCUUUGUCCAUUUGGGGAGGUCAUCGUUCUGUGUUCGCUGUUAUUUCUUGUGGAUGUACAUCUAUGGAUUUGCUUUAAAGGAUUUAUUAUUCAUUCCAGUCUACUGUCUUGCUUGUUUUGGUCUUUGUAAGAUAUGUUUGCUUAGAAAUUCUUUGCAGUUGCCUGUGAGUCCCCUAAUACUAUUAUAUAUCACUGCCUCCUUUUGGACACUAGAUGGCACCUUAAGCCCAAGUUUGCCUUGGCUCUCACAAACAUUGGAGCACUGCCUGUCAGAUGGUGGGGGCGGGAAAGGGGAUACCCCCAACUGUGUGGUAACACUGGCAAAGGGUUUGUACCCAGAAGACUCAUGGCUCAUGCCCCCUACAGUGUGGUCCUGAUGAACAGCUGCUCUGAUAUGGCAUCUCUUUUGGCUGAAAUAAAGAGAAGAAUUUCAGGGAUAGCGUUUCUGUUCCUGCUUCCCCACUUUCUGUAGCUGCCUACAGAGUUUUUUCUCCCUAGUAGCCCCCAUAAUAUUACACUUCUCAUAGGUUGAGGCAGGAGCAGUUUUCCUGCAAGGGAACCCUAGAUAGCUGGCUGUCCUCCAUCUGACUAUUUCCAAUGAAGAAACUGAGUCUGGGAGGAAUUUUUCAUGCACAGGGCCUGACACAUUGGGGAAGGGGCAUCAUGCAUAGAAAAAGCGAUUUCUCUUACUGUUUGUUUGGAGUUUUUCAGUUCUCUGUGGCUCACAGAUAGUAUCAGUCUCAGAUUUGAUAUCUGGGAUAUUGCUGAUGAUAAGCUUGGUGCUAGAUAUUUGUUUUGGGAUUUCUGUGGGAGAGUGAAGCCAGAUUGCUUCUACUUUGCCAUUUUGGUGGCAUCAUUGUCUCAAUAAAGGAUUUUCAAAUUAAGGUAUGUAAUUUUUUUUAGUCAUGCUAUUAUUGCACACUUGGUAGAGUACAGUAUAAUGUAAAUAUAACUUUUAUAUAUACUGGGAAACCAGAAUAUUCAUAUGACUUGCUUUUCUUGCAAUAUUUGCUUUAUUGUAGUAGUCUAGAAUUGAACCAGCAAUAUCUCUGAGACAUGCCUGUUUAAUUCAGCUGCUCCUUGAAUCAUGAUAAACCCUUUGUAGCUUGAAAAUAUCCUAAGUUGAAAAUGCAUUUAAUAUACCUAACUAACCGAACAUCAUGGCUCAGCCUACCUUAAACGGCUCAGCACAUUACCUUAAAUGUGCUCAAAACACUUAUAUUAACCUAUAGUUGAGCAAAAUCUAACACAAAGCCUAUUUCGUAGUAAAGUGUUGAAUAUCUUAUGUAAUUUAUUGAAUACUGUUCUGAAACUGAAGAACAGAAUUGUUGUAUGGUACUUGAACUCUGGUUCCUACUGAAUGCAUAUUGCUUUUGUAUGAUCCUAAAGCUGAAAAACCCUAAGUGAAACCAUCUUUUAAGUUGAAGACCAUGUGUAUAAAUUUUAACUUAUCCACACUCUACUGUCAAAUAAUCUUAUCCCACUUCAUGUAUAGUAUAAGAACUUUACAACAUUAAACUUUCAUUGUUUCUCCCUAUUUCAUUUCAUUUUUUAAAAUUAGAGACAGAGUCUCAAUCUUUAACCUAGGAUGGAAUGCAGUGGCACAAUCUCAGGUCAUUGCAGUCUCAAACUCCAGAACUUAAGCAGUUCUUUCACCUCAGCCUCAAGUAUCUGGGACUUACAGUUGUGCACCACAAUGGCUGGCUAAUUUUUUGGCCAGGCGCGGUGGCUCACGCCUGUAAUCCCAGCACUUUGGGAGGCCGAGGCGGGUGGAUCAUGAGGUCAAGAGGUCGAGACCAUUCUGGCCAACAUGGUGAAACCCCAUCUCUACUAAAAAUACAAAAAAUAGCCGGACAUGGUGGCACAUGCCUGUGGUCCCAGCUACUCCGGAGGCUGAGGCAGAAGAAUUGCUUGAACCCCGGAGGCAGAGGUUGCAGUGAGCCAAGAUUGCGCCAGAGCAAGACUCCGUCUCAAAAAAAAAAAAAUUUUUUUUUUGUGGCAACAAGAUCUUGCUAUGUAAUUCAGGCUGGUCUCGAACUCCUGGGCUCAAGCAAUCCUCCUGCCUCAGCCUCCCAGUGUUGAGAUUACAGUUAUGAGUCACCACACCCAGCCCCCAUUAUUUGUGCUAUACCUCAUUAUUUUUCUUUAGUCAGUUAUGUGUACAAGUAUAUACACACACAUAUAUGUGCACAUGUGUAUACACACAUACAAACAUACAGUUUGAGUAGAUGGUUUAGCACAUUAAAUCCUUCAUAUGUAUCUAUUAAAAUCUUUCUAAAUGCCAUUGACAAUCUGGGAGAUUUCUUUAAUAGUUUCUUAAUAGAUAUUUAUUUACCUAUUGUUAAAAUGCACACGCUGAAUGAAAAGACCCCAACCCCCCGCCCAAACAGGCUUUGUAUGAGCAACAUGGCUGUUUGUUCACCUUGUUGCAGGCGGGCUGAGGCCAAAAAGGGUGUCAGCAGAGAGCAGUGGGAUAGGAGUUGGUUUUAUAGGUUUGGGGUAGGCAGUGGAAAGUCACAGUUUAGGGUGGCUUUUGCAAGCUGGGAGGGGGUCGUUGGGUGUGGAGCCCCAAGGUUAACCAUGUCAGUUACAAAGUCCAAUGGCCUUAUCAAUUGGGGCGAGAAUAACAAACAUUAGAGAAUGUCUUAAAGUUAAGUAGGCAUUGCAGGGGUUGAUCCUUUCUUUCUCUUUUCGUGGUCUUCCAGUUUUGAUUUUCCAGGAACUCAUCUGGAGUGUCCGUGCAGGUCAGAGAGGUUAACAUGGCAUCCAUGGGGCCAUCAGUCGGCCUAAAAGACCUUACAUUCCUGUCUUUUUGUAUUAAUAAUAUAAAAAAAAAAAGAGAUGAAGAGUGGAGGGCAGUGGAAUAUCAGGAAGGCCGACACAGAGGGGUGAUGGGGCGAUGUUUCUCAGGGCUUCUUUGAGUGGGAUUGGGGGUGGCACAGAAACCUCAAAAUGGGAAAGAAUUUAGACUGCUGGGAAAUUUUGGGGCAAGAGGUGAUAUUGUGGGGUUGUUAGAAGGAACAUUUGUUGUAUUGAUGGAUUGCUUAUUGCUUGUAUACGAUUUUGUAGGAAUUGAGAGAUUAAUUGGAAAACACAGGGUCCAAAUAAGAGGAGAAAGAUAGUAUCGGAGGACUAGGGAUUGGAAGAAGCCAUGACUCCCAGUUAGAGUGUCCAGCCAGUCCAGCCAGGUUUAGUUUAUUGAUGGCAUCACGUAUGAGUCUGGACUGGUUUACAUAAGAAAAAUUGAAAGGGCUGUUUUCCGGCCAUUUGGAUUGAGGCCAGGCCGUGUUACAGAGAUGUUUAGGUUUCAGAUCAGGCGACAGUUGAAGAGGUUUUAAGUUUUUUAGGAUACAGGCUAGAUGUGAAAAUGUAAAAUAGAGGAAUAGAGGGCAGAAUAUUGCCCAUAGUGAAGGAGAUUUUUUUUUUUUUUUUUUUUUUUUUAAGAGACGGAGUUUUACCAGCUUGGUCAGGCUGGUCUCGAACUCCCGACCUCAGGUGAUCGGCCUGCCUCAGCCUCCUGAAGGGCUGGGAUUACAGGCAUGAGCCACCGUGCCUGGCUCAAGGAGGUAAGUUUUAAGGAAAGGAGCCGAGUAGACUAGGAGAAGGAGUGAGCAGCUACCAGGGUUUUCAGUUGGUGUCCCUGACUGAUUUUUGGGCUUUAACAUGGGUGAGUGAUUAAGGCAGGCAUCCCCACAAUUGACCAGACACCAAGGGGAGAGUCUUGUCUUUCCGAGUCGGUGACCGACUUCUGAGUUUUUGAGUGAGAGGGAGAGACUUGUCUCCUCCAGCUCCACAUGGAUAAAGAGUGUCUCUUUAUCUCUACUAGAAGGAGAAAGAUUUAAAGGAAAAGAGAGAGAAAGAGGGAGAGACUUGUCUCCUUGGGAUUCGAAGGAAAAGAAAGCUGGGGAGAGAUUUGUCUCCUCUUCUCUAAAGAGAGAGAGAGGGGAGAGACUUGUCUCCUGUUCUCUAAAGGAAAAGAGAGAGAAAGAGGGGGAGACUGCUUACUUGAUCUGAAGGUGGUGGGAGAGCUGUUCAGCAUACUCUGUAGAAUUUGUCUCUUUUUUUGGACAGCUAGGAUAGCGGAAGAAAUCUGGGCUUGGGAAGGGGAUACACAAUACCCCUUUGAAUAUAGAUGCUGAAGAAGCAGGUGGGUGAAUUAAAAGGCCAUGUUGCAAUAGAUGGGUGAUAAAGCCUGUUGUGGGAUGGGGUACUGGUGCUGGGCAGGGUAAGUGUGAUUAGGUUUUAAGGGGAUGACGAGAGGUGAGUGACUUACAGCAACAGAUGAGAAGGUGGUGUCCUGCAUACUAGGGUUAAGGUAGGGGGACAUAAGGAGAGCUAUCGAAGGAGAUACGGGUUUGGGGAGGAGGGCGACAAUGAGGUGUGGCUGUAGCCCAGGAAUAGUUAAGGAACAGACAAUUUUGCUAGAAUACCUUGGCCUAACAGGGGAACUGGACAAGUGGGAUGAUUAGGAAACAAUGUUGAAAGGAGUGCUCGCCUAAUUGACACUAGACUUGGGGAGUUGUAAGAGGCCUGGAGGCCUUGCGGUCAAUUCCCACAACAGCUAUGGAGGCCAAGGAGACAGGUCCUUGAAAAGAAGGCAGCAUGGAGUGGGUGGCCCUGACAUGAUUAAGAAGGAGAUGAACUUACCCUCCACUGUAAGAGUUACCCGAAGCUUGGGGUCCAUGAUGGUCCAGGGGGCUUCCAAGAUGUUCAGGCAGCGUCAGCCUUCAGCCACCAAGCUCAGGAGAUGUGGGAAGGAUUCAGUCCGAGAGCUUUUGGUUGGAGCUCCAGGAACUCUGGGAGCAGCGACGUGAGUCAGACAGUCCGACUUUCCAUGGGGCACCCCCUGCAUGGAUGGGGCAGGGCUUAGGAAGAAUCCUGGACUGGGGCAUUCCUUGGCUCCGUGGCCAGGUUUCCGACACUUGAAGCAAGGUCUGGGAGGGGUGGCUGUAAUCCCAGCACUUUGGGAGGCCGAGGUGGGUGGAUCACCUGAGGUCAGGAGUUUGAAAGCAGCCUGGCCAACAUGACAAAACCCUGUCUCUACGAAAAAUACGAAAAUUAGCCAGGCAUGAUGGUGCAUGCCUGUAAUCCCAGCUUCUCAGAAGACUGAGGCAGGAGAGUCACUUGAAUCUGGGAGGUGUAGGUUGUAAGGAACCGAGAUUGUGCCACUGCACUCCAACCUGGGCAACAGAGCAAGACUCCAUCUCAAAAAAAAAAAAAAAAAAAUAGUGCAAAGGACUUCAGUAGACAGUUUCCAAAGAAGAUUUACAAGAUAUACAAAUGGCCAAUAAGCCCACGAUAAGAUGCUCAACAUAGUCAUUAGGGAAACACAAAUUCAAAAAGCCAAAAUGAAAUACCACUUUAUGCCCACUAAGAUAGUGUUAUGAACUGAAUUAUGCUCCCCCCACACUCCCAAAAUUUAUAUGUUGAAUCCCUAACUCCUGAUGUGACUGUUUUUGGAGACAGGGCAUUUAGGGAGGUAAUAAGGUUGAAUGAGCUUAUAAGGGUAGAGUGUACUGAAGUGCAAUGGCUUGGUCUCAGCUCACUACAACCUCCUCCUCCCUGGGUUCAGGCGAUUCUCCUGCUUCAACCUCCUGAGUAGCUGGGAUUACAGGCAUGUGCCACUAUGUCCAGCUAAUUUUUGUAUUUUUUAGUAGAGAUGGGGUUUCACUGUGUUGGCCAGGCUGGUCUUCAACUCCUGACCUCUGGUGAUUCAUCUGCCUGGCCUCUCAACAUGCUGGAAUUACAGGUAUCAGCCACCACAGCUGGCCUAUUCUAGGUUAAUAUGCUACAAAAAUGCUUUGUGCCUUUUUCUCAUGUUUUAAAAAUUAUAAAAAUGUAUAAUAUGAAAUUUACCAUCUUAACAGUUCUUAAGUGUACAACUCAGUAGUGUGCAGUAUAUUUACAUUGUUGUGAAACAGAUCUCCAAAACAUUCUUAUCUUGCAAAACAAGCUUCCAUUUCAUAUUUGUCACACACAAAAAGAUGUACACUCAUGAGUGAGAUUUUGUAGAGUUAAUUUUUUGGCUUUAUCAAGGAUAUUUUUAAGUUGAAACUGGAAUGGUUUUAUUUUUUCUAAUUGCAAGUGUAUAACAAUGAAGAAUGCAGUCACAAGUAAGUAAAGUUUGGUGCCACUGCCUCAAUUCACAUCAGCAGUUUUAUACAUCAUUGCUUUUGUACCAUCAGUAGAAAUGUCAACACAGUGGAAAGGGCUAAUAACAUCUUAUUAUUAUUAUGAGCAUAGUUUUGACUUUGUAGACUUUGUAAAAGGUUCUUAGGAACCUUCCAACAAUCCACAGACCACUUUGAGAACCACUGAUUUAGAUUGAUGUUUUAGGAAGAUCACUUUGGUGACAGGUUAGAGAAGGGAAAUUGGAAAGUCAAGGAGACUCAAGUGAAAGAAGAGGAAGGUCUAAAUUUGAAUAGUGAGUGCAGAUGAGAAGGAAAAGACAGAUUUAGGAGAUAGAUUAAAAGUGGAAUUGACUUAGAGAAUUGCAGGGGUAUCUUUGAGAUAAUGAAAUUAUUGUCUAUCAGCCAGGCGUGGUGGCUCAAGCCUAUAAUCCCAGCACUUUGGGAGGCCGAGGCGGGUCACGAGGUCAAGAGAUCGAGACCAUCUUGGUCAACAAGGUGAAACCCCGUCUCUACUAAAAAUACAAAAAUUAGCUGGGCAUGGUGGCACGCACCUGUAGUCCCAGCUACUUGGGAGGCUGAGGCAGGAGAAUUGCUUGAACCCAGAAGGCGGAGGUUGCAGUGAGCCGAGAUCAUACCAUUGCACUCCAGUCUGGGUAAUAACAGCGAAACUCCGUCUCAAAAAAAAAAAAAAAAAAAAAAGAAAUUAUUGUUUAUCAUAGUGCCAGAUUUUGUCCCUCAUCUCCAUGUAUUCAGUUUACAUCACUAACCUAAAUUAUUCAAGAUAAGUUGAAAAUUUCCAUAGUACCAUAAUAAAAAAAAAAAAACCUA